GAUGAACGCUGGCGACAGGCUUUAACACAUGCAAGUCGAGGGGCAGCGGGGGCGAAAGCUUGCUUUCGCCUGCCGGCGACCGGCGCACGGGUGAGUAAACACGUAUGCAACCUGCCCGCCACAGGGGAAUAACCGGGAGAAAUCCCGACUAAUACCGCGUAGACCUGAUUGAGGCAUCUCGAUUGGGGGAAAGCUUCGGCGGUGGCGGAUGGGCAUGCGGCGCAUUAGCUAGUUGGCGGGGUAACGGCCCACCAAGGCGACGAUGCGUAGGGGUUCUGAGAGGAAGGUCCCCCACAUUGGUACUGAGACACGGACCAAACUCCUACGGGAGGCAGCAGUGAGGAAUAUUGGUCAAUGGGCGGAAGCCUGAACCAGCCAAGUCGCGUGAGGGAAGACGGUCCUACGGAUUGUAAACCUCUUUUGUCGGGGAGCAAAGAGGCCACGCGUGGCAAGAUGAGCGUACCCGAAGAAAAAGCAUCGGCUAAACUCCGUGCCAGCCGCCGCAGUAAG
rnacentral:rRNA from 1 species